AUUGAACGCUGGCGGCAGGCCUAACACAUGCAAGUCGAACGAGUGGCGGACGGGUGAGUAAUGUCGGGGAAACUGCCCGAUGGAGGGGGAUAACUACUGGAAACGGUAGCUAAUACCGCAUACCAGCGGCUGUUCCCAGAUGGGAUGAGCUAGUAGGUGGGUGAAUGGCUCACCUAGGCGACGAUCCAUAGCUGGUCUGAGAGGGUGACCAGCCACACUGGAACUGAGACACGGUCCAGACUCCUACGGGAGGCAGCAGUAGGGAAUCGUCCGCAAUGGGCGAAAGCCUGAUGCAGCAACGCCGCGUGAAUGAAGAAGGCCUUCGGGUUGUAAAGUACUUUCAGCGAGGAGGCGGUACCCGAAGAAGAAGCCCCGGCUAACUCCGUGCCAGCAGCCGCGGUAAUAC
rnacentral:rRNA from 1 species